rnacentral:rRNA from 1 species
UACAGAGGGUGCAAGCGUUAAUCGGAAUUACUGGGCGUAAAGCGUGCGUAGACGGUUAUGUAAGUCGGGUGUGAAAGCCCCGGGCUCAACCUGGGAAUGCCAUUCGAGACUGCAUAGCUAGGGUGCGGAAGAGGGAAGCGGAAUUUCCGGUGUAGCGGUGAAAUGCGUAGAUAUCUGGAGGAACACCGGUGGCGAAGGCGGCAUCCUGGACCAUUACUGACACUGAAAAGCGAAAGCCAGGGGAGCAAACGGG